rnacentral:rRNA from 1 species
CCUACGGGGGGCAGCAGUGGGGAAUUUUGGACAAUGGGGGCAACCCUGAUCCAGCCAUGCCGCGUGAGUGAAGAAGGCCUUCGGGUUGUAAAGCUCUUUCGGCCGGGAAGAAAUCGCUCAAGCUAAUACCUUGGGUGGAUGACGGUACCGGAAGAAGCAGCACCGGCUAACUACGUGCCAGCAGCCGCGGUAAUACGUAGGGUGCGAGCGGUAAUAGGAAUUACUGGGCGUAGAGCUUAGGCAGAUGUGAAAGCCCCGGGCUUAACCUGGGAACUGCGUUUGUGACUGUGGUGCUCGAGUGCGGCAGAGGGGGGUGGAAUUCCACGUGUAGCAGUGAAAUGCGUAGAGAUGUGGAGGAACACCGAUGGCGAAGGCAGCCCCCUGGGUCGACACUGACGCUCAUGCACGAAAGCGUGGGGAGCAAACAGGAUUAGAUACCCCGGUAGUC